rnacentral:hammerhead_ribozyme from 1 species
AGCUAGCUGACGAGUCCCAAAUAGGACGAAAUACGUAUCCUGGAU